CAGCAGCCGCCACGGGAAUACGUAGGUGGCGAGCGUUGUCCGGAAUUAUUGGGCGUAAAGGGAGCGCAGGCGGACAUAUAAGUCCAUCUUAAAAGUUCGGGGCUUAACCCCGUGAUGGGAUGGAAACUGCCAAUCUAGAGUAUCGGAGAGGAAAGUGGAAUUCCUAGUGUAGCGGUGAAAUGCGUAGAUAUUAGGAAGAACACCAGCGGCGAAGGCGACUUUCUGGACGAAAACUGACGCUGAGGCGCGAAAGCCAGGGGAGCGAACGGGAUUAGAUACCCCCGUAGUCCCUGUCUCUUAUACA
rnacentral:rRNA from 1 species